rnacentral:rRNA from 1 species
CACUCCUGCGGGAGGCAGCAGUGGGGAAUUUUGGACAAUGGGCGAAAGCCUGAUCCAGCAAUGCCGCGUGAGUGAAGAAGGCCUUCGGGUUGUAAAGCUCUUUUGUCAGGGAAGAAACGGUGAAAGCUAAUAUCUUUUGCUAAUGACGGUACCUGAAGAAUAAGCACCGGCUAACUACAUGCCAGCAGCCGCGGUAAUACGUAGGGUGCAAGCGUUAAUCGGAAUUACUGGGCGUAAAGCGUGCGCAGGCGGUUUUGUAAGUCUGAUGUGAAAUCCCCGGGCUCAACCUGGGAAUUGCAUUGGAGACUGCAAGGCUAGAAUCUGGCAGAGGGUGGUAGAAUUCCACGUGUAGCAGUGAAAUGCGUAGAUAUGUGGAGGAACACCGAUGGCGAAGGCAGCCCCCUGGGUCAAGAUUGACGCUCAUGCACGAAAGCGUGGGGAGCAAACAGGAUUAGAUACCCCUGUAGUCCCAUGA